UGAUAAUCGAUAUGUUUUGGAACUUAUUGAAAAGAAACGUGGUGGUAUUAUUGCUCUUCUGGACGAGGCUUGCAUGUUAAAUUCAACACAUGUAAAAUUCUCUGAAAAGCUGUACGGGACAUUGAAAGGCAACAAGUACUUUAGCAAGCCAAAAUUAUCUCCAACUGACUUCACAAUUUGCCACUAUGCUGG